ensembl:snRNA U6 U6 spliceosomal RNA
GUGCUCGCUUCAGUAACACAUAUACUAAAACUGGAAUGCUACAGAGAAGAUUAGCACAGCCCCUGAACAAGGAUGACAUCCAAAUUCCUGAAGUGUUCCAUUACAAA